rnacentral:rRNA from 1 species
CUAAGAAUAUUCCGCAAUGGACGGAAGUCUGACGGAGCGACGCCGCGUGGAUGACGAAGGCCGAAAGGUUGUAAAGUUCUUUUGCUGGGGAAGAAUAACCGCAGGAGGGAAUGCCUGUGGGAUGACAAGAACCGGCGAAUAAGCCCCGGCCAACUACGUGCCAGCAGCCGCGGUAACACGUAGGGGGCGAGCGUUGUUCGGAAUUACUGGGCGUAAAGGGCAUGUAGGCGGCUUGGAAAGCCUGGCGUGAAAGUCUGCAGCUUAACUGCAGGGGUGCGCUGGGAACUGCUGAGCUUGAGUGACGGAGAGGGAGCUGGAAUUCCUGGUGUAGGGGUGAAAUCUGUAGAUAUCAGGAAGAACACCGAUGGCGAAGGCAAGCUCCUGGCCGAUGACUGACGCUGAGGUGCGAAAGUGUGGGGAUCAAACAGGAUUAGAUACCCUGGUAGUCCACACAGUCAACGAUGUGCACUAGGUGCUGGGGCGGUAGCUUCGGUGCCGGAGCGAACGUGGUAAGUGCACCGCCUGGGGAGUAUGCUCGCAAGGGUGAAACCCAAAUGAAUUGAC